rnacentral:rRNA from 1 species
GGUCCAGACUCCUACGGGAGGCAGCAGUGGGGAAUAUUGCACAAUGGGGGAAACCCUGAUGCAGCGACGCCGCGUGAGUGAAGAAGUAUUUCGGUAUGUAAAGCUCUAUCAGCAGGGAAGAAAAUGACGGUACCUGAUUAAGAAGCCCCGGCUAACUACGUGCCAGCAGCCGCGGUAAUACGUAGGGGGCGAGCGUUAUCCGGAAUUACUGGGUGUAAAGGGAGCGUAGACGGCGAGGUAAGCCUGAAGUGGAAGCCCGCGGCCCAACCGCGGAACUGCUUUGGGAACUGUUUUGCUGGAGUAUGGGAGGGGUAAGCGGAAUUCCUGGUGUAGCGGUGAAAUGCGUAGAUAUCACGCAGAACUCCGAUUGCGAAGGCAGCAUACCGGCGCCCGACUGGCGCUGAGGCACGAAAGCGUGGGGAUCGAACAGGAUUAGAUACCCCUGUAAA